GGAGCGGUACUCAAGUGGUGAAGAGGCGUGACUCGAAAUCUCGUAGAUCCGCAAGGAUGCGUGGGUUCGACCCCCACCCGCUCCG
rnacentral:tRNA from 1 species